AUUGAACGCUGGCGGCAGGCCUAACACAUGCAAGUCGGACGGUAGCACAGAGGAGCUUGCUCCUCGGGUGACGAGUGGCGGACGGGUGAGUAAUGUCUGGGAAACUGCCCGAUGGAGGGGGAUAACUACUGGAAACGGUAGCUAAUACCGCAUAACGUCGCAAGACCAAAGUGGGGGACCUUCGGGCCUCACACCAUCGGAUGUGCCCAGAUGGGAUUAGCUGGUAGGCGGGGUAACGGCCCACCUAGGCGACGAUCCCUAGCUGGUCUGAGAGGAUGACCAGCCACACUGGAACUGAGACACGGUCCAGACUCCUACGGGAGGCAGCAGUGGGGAAUAUUGCACAAUGGGCGCAAGCCUGAUGCAGCCAUGCCGCGUGUAUGAAGAAGGCCUUCGGGUUGUAAAGUACUUUCAGCGGGGAGGAAGGUGCUGAGGUUAAUAAGCUCAGCAAUUGACGUUACCCGCAGAAGAAGCACCGGCUAACUCCGUGCCAGCCGCCGCCGUAA
rnacentral:rRNA from 1 species